GUCAACAGUUAUAAUACCUUGAAGGUGCCUGAUCUCUUCUGAUUGCAGAAGAUAAGCAGGUCAGGUUUGGUUGGGAUUUGGAUGGGAGAUCCAGUGUAGUGUUAGAAUGAGAAAGGCCACUGUGUCA
rnacentral:rRNA from 1 species